rnacentral:tRNA from 1 species
CUAGAGAAAGAGGAAUAUACCCCCUCCUUAAUGAU